rnacentral:rRNA from 1 species
ACUCCUACGGGAGGCAGCAGUGGGGAAUUUUGGACAAUGGGCGCAAGCCUGAUCCAGCCAUGCCGCGUGAGUGAAGAAGGCCUUCGGGUUGUAAAGCUCUUUCGGCCGGAACGAAAUCGUUCGGGCUAAUACCUCGGAUGGAUGACGGUACCGGAAGAAGAAGCACCGGCUAACUACGUGCCAGCAGCCGCGGUAAUACGUAGGGUGCAGGCGUUAAUCGGAAUUACUGGGCGUAAAGCGUGCGCAGGCGGCUUCCCAAGUCAGAUGUGAAAUCCCCGGGCUUAACCUGGGAACUGCGUUUGAAACUGGGUGGCUAGAGUGCGGCAGAGGGGGGUGGAAUUCCACGUGUAGCAGUGAAAUGCGUAGAUAUGUGGAGGAACACCGAUGGCGAAGGCAGCCCCCUGGGCCUGCACUGACGCUCAUGCACGAAAGCGUGGGGAGCAAACAGGAUUAGAUACCCUGGUAGUC